GCCUUCGUAGUUCAAUGGAUAGAACAGCGGACUUCUAAGCCGUUGAUCGUGGUUCGAUUCCACGCGAGGGCA
rnacentral:tRNA from 1 species